AUGGCUGCCGCCGGAGGGCCGCCGGAAAGGCCAUCCUCGAGGGCCGUCUCGUGCGACCUGCAGGCAUGCACCACUGAGCCCGCUAUAGGAACAGGAACGGCAGAGAAAGAAUCUGCUGCCGAGUACAACCAGAAAGAGGUUGAUGACAAUGCCGGCGAUGGCUCCCAUGGCAUCGGCGGUGACGGCGUCGGGGGAGACAACGUUGGCAGCGGGCUCCAUGGCAUCGGCAAUGAUGGCAUCAUCGUGAGCGGCAGCGGCGAUGAUGAUGACGGCGACGACCGCAGGAGGAGCGAGUAUGAUGAUGACGACAAUGGGGGGUUCUACAGACCGCAGGACAUGGCCGACUACAUCAGCGAGGACGACGGCUACGACGAGAGGGACUAUCCACCACCGAGUCACAUGAUCUGCUACAACGGAGACAGCAAAAACCUGAACUUAGCCUACUCCUUUUCUAAGUACCGGGUGGAGCUCUUCAUCGUGCGCCCUCGCUUCCGCUUCACGGGUUCCUUCGCCGCCACCGACGGCUUUGGUGGCCACUUCUGGUCAUCGCAGAGAGGACACACCGUCGAUCCACAGAAUAAUCUGAUACUCGAGUCGAGCAGCGCCCUGACGGACACCUUCUGGAUCAAAAUCAAGAUCCCGGGGGACAACGGCGAAGCCGAUGAUCACUACAAUGGAAACUUCUCGUUCACGGUGAACCCGUACGCGUGCAACAAAGUCAUCACCCGCACCAUCUCCACAAGACACGGCCGCAAGAUAGACAUGACCUUCAUGGCGCUGCACAAGGCUAUACAGGCCAACGUGUACGUCAACCUCGAUCACCGCGCACCACGAACUCUACGACGGCGAGAGUGUCGUGCUCUUUUCUUGUGGAGAAGAGAACAAGGCGGAGGUCAUCGAUGGCGAGCUCCCGCUAUCGCGGAAGUGUGUGGCUGUUCCAAUAUACAUGGAGCCGCUCUUGAUACUCUACCUGGACCUGCAAGUUGCAACUCACUGUGA
rnacentral:rRNA from 1 species